UGAUUCCGUUUGCUAUUCGUGAUGUCAUCUGAGAAUUGGUGACCCUUGGACAUCAUCAGAUGAGCUUGUAAGCGAAGAAGGUUUAAAACGCGUCUAAAACAAUUCAGACAGACGCCCCAGCCUGUCCCUUUCUUCACCCGAGUGUGUUGCAGAUAAAGCUGAAGAUGGCAUCCCAGCACCAGUUUAUUCUGGCUAUAUUGAUAUGUGUUUUACAUAGCUCACUUUCCACCACAACGCCAAAUGGUACAACGGUCACAGGAACGGGAACCACGUCGAGUCUAUCUGGUUCAUCUGGUUCGUACAGAGACACAC